GAUGAACGCUGGCGGCGUGCCUAACACAUGCAAGUCGAGCGAUUCACUUCGGUGAAGAGCGGCGGACGGGUGAGUAACGCGUGGGUAACCUGCCUCAUACACAUGGAUAACAUACCGAAAGGUAUGCUAAUACAAGAUGAUAUAAGAGAUUCGCAUGGAUUUCUUAUCAAAGCUCAGGCAGUAUGAGAUGGACCCGCGUCUGAUUAGCUAGUUGGUAAGGUAACGGCUUACCAAGGCGACGAUCAGUAGCCGACCUGAGAGGGUGAUCGGCCACAUUGGAACUGAGACACGGUCCAAACUCCUACGGGAGGCAGCAGUGGGGAAUAUUGCACAAUGGGCGAAAGCCUGAUGCAGCAACGCCGCGUGAGCGAUGAAGGCCUUCGGGUCGUAAAGCUCUGUCCUCAAGGAAGAUAAUGACGGUACUUGAGGAGGAAGCCCCGGCUAACUACGUGCCAGCCGCCGCGGUAACAC
rnacentral:rRNA from 1 species